rnacentral:rRNA from 1 species
GUGUCAGCCGCCGCGGUAAUACGAAGGUGGCAAGCGUUGUUCGGAUUUACUGGGCGUACAGGGAGCGUAGGCGGUUUGGUAAGCCCUCUGUGAAAUCUCCAGGCUUAACCUGGAACAGCCGGAGGGGACUGCUGAGCUAGAGGAUGGGAGAGGAGCGCGGAAUUCCCGGUGUAGCGGUGAAAUGCGUAGAGAUCGGGAGGAAGGCCGGUGGCGAAGGCGGCGCUCUGGAACAUUUCUGACGCUGAGGCUCGAAAGCGUGGGGAGCAAACAGGAUUAGAUACCCUGGUAGUCC